rnacentral:rRNA from 1 species
GACGAACGCUGGCGGCGGUGCCUAAUACAUGCAAGUAGAACGCACAGGAUGCACCGUAGUUUACUACACCGUAUUCUGUGAGUUGCAAACGGGUGAGUAACGCGUAGGUAACCUGCCUGGUAGCGGGGGAUAACUAUUGGAAACGAUAGCUAAUACCGCAUAAGAACAUUUACUGCAUGGUAGAUGUUUAAAAGGUGCAAAUGCAUCACUACCAGAUGGACCUGCGUUGUAUUAGCUAGUAGGUGAGGUAACGGCUCACCUAGGCGACGAUACAUAGCCGACCUGAGAGGGUGAUCGGCCACACUGGGACUGAGACACGGCCCAGACUCCUACGGGAGGCAGCAGUAGGGAAUCUUCGGCAAGGGGGGGAACCCUGACCGAGCAACGCCGCGUGAGUGAAGAAGGUUUUCGGAUCGUAAAGCUCUGUUGUUAAGGAAGAACGAGUGUGAGAAUGGAAAGUUCAUACUGUGACGGUACUUAACCAGAAAGGGACGGCUAA